UACGUAGGGUGCAAGCGUUAAUCGGAAUUACUGGGCGUAAAGCGUGCGCAGGCGGUUUUGUAAGUCUGUCGUGAAAGCCCCGGGCUCAACCUGGGAAUUGCGAUGGAGACUGCAAGGCUUGAAUCUGGCAGAGGGGGUAGAAUUCCACGUGUAGCAGUGAAAUGCGUAGAGAUGUGGAGGAACACCGAUGGCGAAGGCAGCCCCCUGGGUCAAGAUUGACGCGUCAUGCACGAAAGCGUGGGGAGCAAACAGG
rnacentral:rRNA from 1 species